rnacentral:sRNA from 1 species
AAGGCCCGUUUCAGGGCUGGUCGGCGAGUGCUCGGGACCAAGCUUUGCACGGCGCAGUCCGAU